rnacentral:rRNA from 1 species
GAUGAACGCUGGCGGCGUGCCUAAUACAUGCAAGUCGAGCGAAUGGAUUAAGAGCUUGCUCUUGUGAAGUUAGCGGCGGACGGGUGAGUAACACGUGGGUAACCUGCCCAUAAGACUGGGAUAACUCCGGGAAACCGGGGCUAAUACCAGAUAACAUUUUGAACCGCAUGGUUCGAAAUUGAAAGGCGGCUUCGGCUGUCACUUAUGGAUGGACCCGCGUCGCAUUAGCUAGUUGGUGAGGUAACGGCUCACCAAGGCAACGAUGCGUAGCCGACCUGAGAGGGUGAUCGGCCACACUGGGACUGAGACACGGCCCAGACUCCUACGGGAGGCAGCAGUAGGGAAUCUUCCGCAAUGGACGAAAGUCUGACGGAGCAACGCCGCGUGAGUGAUGAAGGCUUUCGGGUCGUAAAACUCUGUUGUUAGGGAAGAACAAGUGCUAGUUGAAUAAGCUGGCACCUUGACGGUACCUAACCAGAAAGCCACGGCUAACUACGUGCCAGCCGCCGCGGUAA